AUUGAACGCUGGCGGCAGGCCUAACACAUGCAAGUCGAGCGAGCGGCGGACGGGUGAGUAAUGUAUGGGGACUGCCCGAUAGAGGGGGAUAACUACUGGAAACGGUGGCUAAUACCGCAUACUAUCGGAUAACCCAUAUGGGAUUAGCUAGUAGGUGGGGUAAAGGCUCACCUAGGCGACGAUCUCUAGCUGGUCUGAGAGGAUGAUCAGCCACACGGGGCAGGAUACACGGCCCAGACUCCUAAGGAGCCAGCAGUGGGGAAAAUUGCACACGGGGGGAAAGCGUUAGGAAGCCAGGCGGCGUGUAGUAAGAAGGCCUUAGGGUGGUAAAUUACUUUAAGCGGGGAGGCGUUAACCGCAGAAGAGGCACCGGCUAACUCGGUGCCAGCAGCGGCGGUAAUAC
rnacentral:rRNA from 1 species